UACGUAGGGGGCAAGCGUUGUCCGGAAUCAUUGGGCGUAAAGAGCGUGUAGGCGGCCCGGUAAGUCCGCUGUGAAAGUCGAGGGCUCAACCCUCGAAUGCCGGCGGAUACUGUCGGGCUAGAGUCCGGAAGAGGCGAGUGGAAUUCCUGGUGUAGCGGUGAAAUGCGCAGAUAUCAGGAGGAACACCUACGGCGAAGGCAGCUCGCUGGGACGGUACUGACGCUGGAGACGCGAAAGCGUGGGGAGCAAACAGG
rnacentral:rRNA from 1 species